rnacentral:rRNA from 1 species
GACGAACGCUGGCGGCGUGCUUAACACAUGCAAGUCGAACGGAAAGGCCCUGCUUUUGUGGGGUGCUCGAGUGGCGAACGGGUGAGUAACACGUGAGUAACCUGCCCUUGACUUUGGGAUAACUUCAGGAAACUGGGGCUAAUACCGGAUAGGAGCUCCUGCUGCAUGGUGGGGGUUGGAAAGUUUCGGCGGUUGGGGAUGGACUCGCGGCUUAUCAGCUUGUUGGUGGGGUAGUGGCUUACCAAGGCUUUGACGGGUAGCCGGCCUGAGAGGGUGACCGGCCACAUUGGGACUGAGAUGCGGCCCAGACUCCUACGGGAGGCAGCGGUGGAGAAUAUUGCACAAUGGGCGGAAGCCUGAUGCAGCAACGCCGCGUGCGGGAUGACGGCCUUCGGGUUGUAAUCCGCUUUCGCCUGUGACGAAGCGUGAGUGACGGUAAUGGGUAAAGAAGCACCGGCUAACUACGUG